rnacentral:rRNA from 1 species
ACCGCACUUUAGUGUGUGUGGUGGAAAGUUUUUUCGGUACGAGAUGAGCCCGCGGCCUAUCAGCUUGUUGGUGGGGUAAUGGCCUACCAAGGCGUCGACGGGUAGCCGGCCUGAGAGGGUGGACGGCCACAUUGGGACUGAGAUACGGCCCAGACUCCUACGGGAGGCAGCAGUGGGGAAUAUUGCACAAUGGGCGCAAGCCUGAUGCAGCGACGCCGCGUGAGGGAUGACGGCCUUCGGGUUGUAAACCUCUUUCGACAGGGACGAAGCUUUUUGUGACGGUACCUGUAUAAGAAGCACCGGCUAACUACGUGCCAGCAGCCGCGGUAAUACGUAGGGUGCGAGCGUUGUCCGGAAUUACUGGGCGUAAAGAGCUCGUAGGUGGUUUGUCGCGUCGUCUGUGAAAUUCCGGGGCUUAACUCCGGGCGUGCAGGCGAUACGGGCAUAACUUGAGUGCUGUAGGGGAGACUGGAAUUCCUGGUGUAGCGGUGGAAUGCGCAGAUAUCAGGAGGAACACCGAUGGCGAAGGCAGGUCUCUGGGCAGUAACUGACGCUGAGGAGCGAAAGCAUGGGGAGCGAACAGGAUUAGAUACCCUGGUAGUCCAUGCCGUAAACGGUGGGCGCUAGGUGUGAGGGUCUUCCACGACUUUCGUGCCGUAGCUAACGCAUUAAGCGCCCCGCCUGGGGGAGUACGGCCGCAAGGCUAAAACUCAAAGGAAUUGACGGGGGCCCGCACAAGCGGCGGAGCAUGUGGAUUAAUUCGAUGCAACGCGAGAACCUUACCUGGGCUUGACAUAUACAGAUCGGCGUAGAGA